rnacentral:rRNA from 1 species
AUUGAACGCUGGCGGCAGGCCUAACACAUGCAAGUCGAGCGGCAGCGGGAAAGUAGCUUGCUACUUUUGCCGGCGAGCGGCGGACGGGUGAGUAAUGCCUGGGAAAUUGCCCAGUCGAGGGGGAUAACAGUUGGAAACGACUGCUAAUACCGCAUACGCCCUACGGGGGAAAGCAGGGGACCUUCGGGCCUUGCGCGAUUGGAUAUGCCCAGGUGGGAUUAGCUAGUUGGUGAGGUAAUGGCUCACCAAGGCGACGAUUCCUAGCUGGUCUGAGAGGAUGAUCAGCCACACUGGAACUGAGACACGGGCCAGACUCCUACGGGAGGCAGCAGUGGGGAAUAUUGCACAAUGGGGGAAACCCUGAUGCAGCCAUGCCGCGUGUGUGAAGAAGGCCUUCGGGUUGUAAAGCACUUUCAGCGAGGAGGAAAGGUUGAUGCCUAAUACGUAUCAACUGUGACGUUACUCGCAGAAGAAGCACCGGCUAACUCCGUGCCAGCCGCCGCGGUAA